rnacentral:lncRNA from 1 species
GGAAAUCGUGUCCGUAUCCAUUAACAGUGUUGUUCAUGCUUGAGUCGGAACGGUUGGAACCAUCGCUAGUGACCACGCUUUCCAAGGACUUGACCCCGCGAGCCACGGUUAGGUCGGGUGGGAUUGAGUGGUCAACUGGAGAUGGAGAAUUCAUGAUUUCAUCAUCAACAGGAGGGUAACAAGUUAGCCUAUUCAUGCUGUCUUUAUUAUUUACAGUUGAAGCGAGAAUAGGGUAAGAUGCAAUCUGUGCUUCUGUUGCUUCUAGUGAUGAGCCUGAGAGAAUAAACAAAAAUAGAAAAUAAAAAACAGUGUUGGGUGAGAAUUACAUUUAAAGGAAUUAAUUAAUGGGAUCUGUCAAAGGAAUUGUAAUGUGUCACGUGUUUGUUUGGAAAGAAACAGAAUGAAAUUCAAUCACAUGCAUUUGUUGUUUACUUGUUUCAUGUUUAUUUAGUUUGUUUGUAAGUUAAAGGGGCCAUUUCUGUAAUUUUGUGUUAUACAGGGACUAUUAAUAUAACUUUGUUGCACAGGGACCAUUUCUGUAACUUUAUCUUACACAGGGAUCAUUUCUGUAAUUUUGUCUUAGGCAGGGAUUGUUUCUAUAACUUUUUACACAGGGACCAUUUCUGUAACUUAUCUUACACAGGGAUCAUUUCUGUAAUUUCAUCUAUUUCCUACAGAGGGAUCAUUUCUGUAAUUUUGUCUAGGGCAGGGAUUGUUUCUGUAGUUUUGUUAAAGAGGGACCAUUUCUGUAAUUUUUGGCUAAAAAAACACUAUAUCUUGAAUUAAACUUAUCAAUAUAGUGUAUAUAACAUUUUGAUAAAUAGGCAACGGGUUUCUGAGGGCACUUUGGUCUUUUUCUUAUGAAAAGAUGAAGAAUGGAAUAGGAAUGAUGAAAUCCUUCCAUCAUGGAGUUUGAAGGAGACUCCAGGAGUUUAAUUCCAUUGGUUUGGCAACCUGAUAGGAAUUAGAUAGUUAAAAUGCUUAAAGGGGUAAAAGGGUAAUUCCAAAAUAGAGUUUGUUAGAGGUUUGCUAAUAAAUAAAGGGUAGGAUUGCAUUGUUAGUCAGUCCGAAAUAUCUUAGAUUGGUGUUAGUCUCUAGAUGAACUUGCAAAUUUUCCAUAUCCUACAAAGUUAUGUAUAGUAUAGCCUUGGAAUUGGUUGGGGUGACAUUUGAUUCAUCUUUAGGGGGAAGGAUUUCAAGGUGGAGGGAAUAAUUUCAGAUUGACAUCAACAGUAAAAUGGGGAAGGGUAACAACCAUUUUAGCAAGAUAAUAAUAGGAGUAGGCACUUCAGAAUUCAGGAUUGAAGGGUUGAUCUUUGAUACGGGUCAGCUGGACAUAACAGUGAAGGUGAUAGGGCUCAAGUUGUUAGGCACAGUGAUUCACUAUUGGGACAAUUUGGAAAGGCAAUUCGUAUACAAUGGAGUAAAAAGAAAUCUUCAAGGGUUGCAUACUCUUCCAAUGUCUCCGACCUCUCUUCCUUAUGGGUUAUCCUUCAUAGACAAAUUCCUAUUAAUGUUUGUUUCCAUGCACAAUCAUCAAGACAUAAUUGCUAAGGGACCUGUUCAAAAUAUGGAGAAAGUGAGAGCUAUAAUGUACAAGCUGGACUUCUCUUCCUUCUUCAAGAUGCACUUGCUGAAUUUUUUAAGGCUUAAAAAAGCAAUGAGAUAUUUCUUUGCACAGAUUUUGCUAUCAGAACCGAAAUUAAGUGCUUCGAAAUGGAGGAUUCCCAUCAUUUUUCUUGUUUCCUGUUUGAUCAUUCAUCUAUGGGAACAAGUUGACGGGUGGUUAACUUGGUGGAAAGGGCGACCGACUGAAGAGGCUACAAAGGAGGAAACAUCGGCAAGGACAAAUCAGGGGCGCAUGUUGUGUAUUAUAAGAAGUUAACAUCUCCUUGGCAGCAAGUCUUGAGGUCAAGACUUUGUUGAAGGGGNNNNNNNNNNNNNNNNNNNNNNNNNNNNNNNNNNNNNNNNNNNNNNNNNNNNNNNNNNNNNNNNNNNNNNNNNNNNNNNNNNNNNNNNNNNNNNNNNNNNUUACAUUUAAAGGAAUUAAUUAAUGGGAUCUGUCAAAGGAAUUGUUUGGAAAUAAACGAAUCACAUACAUGCGUUUGUCGUUUACUUGUUUUAUGUUUGGUUUGUAAAUCUAUCAAAGAAAUUGAAAUGAAUAUUAUGUUAAAGAAAGAAUGUUUUUUGUGUGUUAACAAGGGUUUUUAGCCCACACGUUGCUGGCAAGAGGGACCAUUUCUGUAACUUUAUCUUACACAGGGAUCGUUUCUGCAAUUUCAUCUAUAUUUCCUAUAGAAGGAUCAUUUCUGUAAUUUUUUACUUGGGCAGGGAUUGUUUCUGUAGUUUUGUUAAAGAGGGACCAUUUCUGUCAUUUUGUAUUUGUAUUUGAGACACAAGGAAUAUUUCUGUAAUUUUUUUCAUACAGGGACCAUUUCUGUCAUUAUAUCUUAUCUGAAUACUACAGGGACUAAAAGUGCAAUUCGCUAAAAAAACACUAUAUCAAUAGUGUAUAUAACAUUUUGAUAAAUGUUACAUAGGAAAUGGGUUUCUGAGGGCACUUUGGUCUUUUUCUUAUGAAAAGAUGAAGAAUGGAAUAGGAAUUGAUGAAAUCCUUCCAUCAUUGAGUUCGAAGGAGACUCCAGGAGUUGGUUAAAUUCCAUUGGUUUGGCAACCAAACACGCCUCAAAAUGGAAUUUUAGAUUCCAACUCCUGUGGAUUCCGCUGGGAUCUUUAGAUUCCAUUCCAUGGUGUGUUUGGUUGCCUGAUGGAUGGAAUUCAAAUCCCAUGUUUGAUGGAUUUCAGCAUUCCUAGGGCUAGGGAGGGUGGAAGGAAUUCAAUUCCAUUUUUCCCUUUACUUUUACA